AUACGGAGGAUCCGAGCGUUAUCCGGAUUUAUUGGGUUUAAAGGGAGCGUAGGCGGACGCUUAAGUCAGUUGUGAAAGUUUGCGGCUCAACCGUAAAAUUGCAGUUGAUACUGGGUGUCUUGAGUACAGUAGAGGCAGGUGGAAUUUGUGGUGUAGCGGUGGAAUGCUUAGAUAUCACGAAGAACUCCGAUUGCGAAGGCAGCCUGCUGGACUGUAACUGACGCUGAUGCUCGAAAGUGUGGGUAUCAAACAGGAUUAGAUACCCUGGUAGUCCACACAGUAAACGAUGAAUACUCGCUGUUUGCGAUAUACAGUAAGCGGCCAAGCGAAAGCGUUAAGUAUUCCACCUGGGGAGUACGCCGGCAACGGUGAAACUUAAAGGAAUUGACGGGG
rnacentral:rRNA from 1 species